UACGGAGGGUGCAAGCGUUAUCCGGAUUUAUUGGGUUUAAAGGGCCCGUAGGCGGAUCUGUAAGUCAGUGGUGAAAUCUCACAGCUUAACUGUGAAACUGCCAUUGAUACUGCAGGUCUUGAGUGUUAUUGAAGUAGCUGGAAUAAGUAGUGUAGCGGUGAAAUGCAUAGAUAUUACUUAGAACACCAAUUGCGAAGGCAGGUUGCUAAGCAACAACUGACGCUGAGGCGCGAAAGCGUGGGGAGCGAACAGG
rnacentral:rRNA from 1 species